UUGGCUUGCAUCUAGAAAUGUCUAAAGCUUGUGGAGCUCCUAGCCUCCAAGCCCCCGGGGCUCAAUUAGUUUGGCGUAGUCUCGUGCGACAAUUGACUAGCAUCAUGAAAUCUAUAUACUUUAUAGGUAUCUCAAUCCUUUGAGCCCUGAGAUGUCUGAUAGUUUCCAACAAUCUGUCACUAUCAAGUUCCUUAAAUCUUCAAAUUUCCAAACAACUAGAAAUUUUGCUAACAACUUGCAUCCUUGAAUACACAAACUUUUGCAGGAUGAGAACACCUCUAGGCUUUGAAUGUCAUCUAGCUUUUCACAGUGGUUGAUGUUCAACCUUUUCAGGGUUUUUUUUUUUUUUCAGGGUUCAACCAUUUCAGGGUUUUCAAGCAUGAGAGAUCCAAUAAUCUUCCAAGGGAAGUGCAACCACGAAUAUCCAAUAUUACCCAGAAAAUCCAGUCCAUCAAGGCCACAUUUCAACUACACUCUUAAAGUUAGCAACAUGAAACCUCCCAAAUUCUUCAAACUAGAAGGUUAUCUUUCGAUGGAUGUGCAAUUAGAGAUAUCCAAUCUUACAAAUAAUCAACCUCUCAAGGCCAUGAAUUUCAACUAGAUUCCCGCAAUCUGUAGCACAAAAUCCCUUUAGAGAUUUUGAACUUGAAAGGUCUCUUUAUCUUUCAAUGGAUCGAAAAUCUGGCCAUCUUUUUAAUGGACAUUCAUUUAAAGACAUAAAACCUUCUCAAAGAUUCUACAAGUGCAUUGCCCAUUUUUCCUUUAGCGCUCUUUGUCAUAUCAUUUAGAAAAAUAGGAAUAGCAUCAUAUUCAAAGAUCAGCCUCUUACAAUCCCGGCCAUGAAGAACCAUCUCUUCAAAGUGGUCCGAGACAAGGCUGUCACCUUUAAGAACGUAGAAGAUAAUAUUAGAAAUAGAAGGUUGUAGAGAAGUUGGGGCCUAAACCCGAUUAUUUUCUCAGGGGACCCAUAGGUUGGCUACUUUGGAUCUAAUAGUGCCCUCUCUCCCCGCUUGAGGCUUGCUUGGUAGUCGGUUGUCCAUGCCGUGCUUCUCUUUCGGUGUUUGUGUUGUAGUGUGUGUGCCGCGGUUGCGGCUUUUACAUCUUGGCACACUUCCACUCCUUAUGAUCCUUCAUUUGGAGUGUAAAUUUCUAGUGACGAGAUCUUUUGUACAUUUAGCCUUUCCUCAAUAUAUUGAUUACUUUUUACCAAAUAAAAAAUAAAAAAUUUCUUAGUCUUUAAGCUGGAAAAGUUUGGAGAUCUUUUAAUAGAAGUACACCUAGAGAGAUUCAAUCUUGCCAAUAAAUAUAACCUGUAAAGACCAUGAAUUUCAACUAGAUUUCGGCAAUUUGCAGCAUGGAAUAUUUUAAUGGACGAGCAUCCAGAGAGAUAUAGAACGUUUCUAGAUAUUCUAAAUGGCUCAAAGCCUCAAACUUCGACUAAAUUCUCGCUGUAUGCAGCAUCUGAUUCUCUUAGAUUCUUUUUAAACUUGAAAGGAAAAGUAAUUGAAUGGACAUGGAACUAGAGAUAUUCAAACUUACCACGCUCUUGUGAUUGGCAACACAUGAUAGAUUUAGAUGUUUCGAACUUAAAAGGUCCUGCGAAUCUCAACUAGAUUCUCGCGACUCGCAGCAAUUUGUUUCCCGUGGAAUCUUCAAAGUUGAAGGAUCUGGUGACCCUUCGGCUCAUUUCCCACAGAGAAUUUGGGCUUGUUGCCUCUGGAGAAUCUGGGAACGCCUAAUCAAUGUCGAAGUCUAACUAAUGCCAAAACUUUUUGUGUCUGGUAGCUGUAGCCCCAACCACUAGGACCACUCCAUCUCCACCACCACCUGGAAGUGACGCUUCAUAUCUUUAACACUGCUAGUCCUGUUCAAGAGUUCAUUACACAUGAAAUCAUUAUUUCUACUAGAUAUGGGUGGACUAUUGAUAGAUCAUGUGAUGUUGCUAUCCGUCAUAAAGUGAAUAAACUUGUGAAAAUAAUGCUUCUUCUCAUAAUUCUAGCAUGAUUCAUGUAGAUAACAUUGCUCAAACUUGUAAUAGAUCAUCGGUUUCUUUGGAAUAAAUAGAUGGUUCAACUCCCAUAUUCUGAAGUUCAGCUCUAUUUACUGUUCCGGUAUCAUGAAGACCAAGAUUAUUAGAAAAAUUAGAAUGUGGCAGGAGACAAAAACCUGCAUGCUGGAAAGUCGAAAUAGAGUAUCAGUUGAACAAAUUCUCAUUGGCGUAGCUAAAAAGUCCCACGAUUGGAAUCACAAAUGAGCAGAAGCGUAAAUCACACAGUGACAGGAAAAAUGGUGUGAAUCUUGUUAGGAUCAAACUCGACACAAGCAGUCGAUCAAGAACUUGAAAUGACUAUGAAACUAUGAACUCACUCUUGCAGCCCUGCAGCAUGUCAAAUUCACACGUGAUGAUCAGCUCGAAAGAACCUGACGAAUUUAGGGAAUCCAGAGCGCCACAAGUCCAGAAUGACCGUCUUCCUUUGGCCUAUGUGUUUUUGUACUUUGCCUCCAGAAGCUUCCUUAAUAAUUGACAUGUCAAUCAUUAAAUUACUUCGAGCAAUCAUACGAGAACAAACAAAAGAUAAAACUACAGUUGCAAUAUCCCAGAACAAUAAAAACCCCAAUUCAAGCAAUCAGAAAAAGUAAGCAAAUUCAGCUUGUUCAAGCAUAGGUUUCUGCCAUCAUUUUCAUCAAAACCUCCGCACGACCACCGUAAACCACCACCUCCAUUAGUCAAUACUACCAAUACACUCCAUCUUCGACCAUCAACUAUGACAUCCUGAUUUUCAGGUUUUGUUUUCGAUUGGAUAAGUUAGGCUUUUCAUCGACGCGCCUAUAGCCAUUUUCUCUGAGUUGGCCACUCACGAGAUAAUUAGCCUAUCGGGUGAAGCCGUUAAAUGAUUUUCACAUAAUAGACUUGAGAAUUCGACUAGGAAUCGAUUGCUCGACUGUGCUAGUCAGCAAUGGUCAUAAUAGCAUUGUCAAAAUCGAUCAGAGAUCAGAGAUAGAUCAAUUUAACUGAGAUAUGUGAUAAAAGUGUGGGUUAUUCCACCCGAUUGCAAAAUUCUCAUCAAUCAGCAUUAGACCGAUUUUUCUGUCGUUUUGGGUAUCAUGUACCCGUAUUCGAAACCUGGAAAUUUUCACGACAAUCGAAAGUCGCCAAUGUGUCGAAGAUGUACAUUGUGACUCGAAAUAAAUCGAUCAUGGGUCAAUUGCGCGAAAAAUUCCUAAAAGCUACCCAGUAAGCUAGGUCAUGCUAAAAUCGCGUCAGAUUGAAAUUAAUUGCAAAAUUGGAUCCGAUUUCAGAAAUUUAAAGUUAUGUCAUGUCACAACUUAUUAUAAGACCGUCGACUCAUCCUUCAAAGAUUUUUCUGCAAACCGAGAUUUUUGGCGAAAUUUCAAUUUAGGGCUAUUUUUAUUUGGAAAAUUUAUAGGACUGUUUUUUAUUGCCCUUUGGGAUGCAAGUUAGUUCUAUUGGUGGGGAAAAAUGUUAAAUUGGUCAAUGACAUUAUAGUGGAAUUUAUGGGGAUUGAAUUGAAUACAAUUGAAGGAGAUUUGGUUCAAUUUGGGAGAAUUUGUGCCCAAAUUCGUAGGCCAUGGUCCCCCUCAACUUUUGAACCACUUGGAGAGUGUUCUAGAGAGAUUUUGGUGCACCAAUUUGGCUAAGGAUUGAGCUGAAACAUGUGGGACCUCUUCAAGGGGACAAAAGGAUAGAAUGGAAGUUUGGAGGGACCCUUUACAAGGGUAGCCGGCUUCUUCUUCUUCUUCAGCUCAGCCUACUUUCUCCAUUUUCUUUGUGUUUAAACCUCCAAAGUUGCAAAGGAAGCCGAGCCAAGCCCUCUACUGUCACAAGCCACCGUCGAGCCCCCUACCGCCACCGCUCUUUGUUGCCCGCCUGUCGCGUCGCACCUCUGCACGAGCCAUGCCUAUUAUGCUCGUCAUUCCGCCCAAUUGCGACCCUAGAUCUUUCCCUGAGCCCGUUCAAGCCCCCUCCACCAUCGCCGAAGCCGCAUGACCACCCGUCCAGCCGCCGGAAGCCCCACUCACCCACCUAGCAGCCACCUUGGUCGUUUCUAGCUCAGCCCAUCGCCUAGCUCACCCCCUCAACCCAACAAUAGAACUGAAGCCCUCAGCCAGUCGUGGUCCUUUGAGGGCCACUUUGGACCACUUCCGAGCCUCGUAAGGUGUCACUGCUAUAAAGUUUGUCGCCUGUCUCCGUGUUGCUGUUGUCGUGGACUCACCGAGUCGCAAAACUAGUGAGUUUACUCACUAAACUCUGCUUAUGGAGUUAAUUAUGCUUAAGGGUUGAUUAUUUUAGGCUAGUAUGGCUUAGGUGAUUAGUUAGAACGGAUUAGCAAUUUAAUUACUCGUCAUUGCAUGUUAGGUGGUUAGAUCAGCUUAAUUAGCAAUUAGAUAGGUUGAAUUAUUUAUCUAGAUAGGUUUGGAAAUUUUCCGAGCCCGUUUUGGUAUUUAAUUAGGCUUUUCUAGCCUAAGUCUCUAUUAAUGGUAUUUAUUUGUAUUUAUUUAAUUAAUUUUGGUAUUUAUUUAAUUAUUUAUUAUUUUUCGAAAAUUAUACCAGGAUAGCUGGUGAUUGGAAUUUCGUGCUGAUUGCAAUGGUAUGCUUGGUUUAUUUAAUUGAAUGCUAGAUUGUGCAAAUUGAGUGAAAAUUAUAAUUUUGGAUAUUUAUUCCAAAAUUGAGUAAUUUCGGUAUUUAAUUGGAAAAUACCAGGCGUCGGUUUACAGUGCCGAAAAUGUGUUUAUGGACUAUUAUAAUUAAUGGGAAUUCCUAAAAGAAAGAUAUUGAGAUUUUGGAUCGGGCCAACCAUGUACCCACACGCGAGUAUUUUAUUGGGUAUUUUCAAUGUGAUCAUUUUAUCAGCUUGAGUGAGCACAACUGAUAUAUAUAUCCAUUAUGAUCGUCUUAUCAGCUUGAGCGAGUAUGAUCAAUAUAUCUUUAUCAACUUGAGUGAGCACGAUCUAUAUUAUUUAUUAGUUUGAGGGAGCUAUCUCUCUAUAUAUCAGCUUGAGCGAGCUAAGACCAUAUAUUACAACUGUUGUGGGUAGUGGUGGUAUCAGAGGAUUGUUAUAUGGCAUUGAUUUGAUAGAUAGUACUAUUGGGUUGGAUUUGAGCUUAUUGACUAGUUGAUCGAUGGUUCGAUUUGAAUUGAGUGGAUUGGUUGAGUUCAUGAGCUAUACUAACCUGCAAGAAGGAACUAAGGCAAAGGUAUGUACUCUAUCUUGUGUGUGCAUAGGUAGCCUUUAGGCAUAUUUCCUUACUAGUUGGAGUUUAGGGGGUGAACUUGCUGAGACAUUGUAUUACCCCGUCGUGGGUUUAACUUUUCAGGUCCUUAGAUGGCGAAUCCCCCUAAGCGUUAUGGUCAGCCGAUGAGAGUCACUGGGCAAGUUUAUAAUUAUCCCGAUCCUGGAAGUUUUUGGGUCUAUGAGUUUGUAGUGACCAUUGUCUGGGUUGAAGAGCAUCCACAUCAUGUGUUCCCUCAUCGAUUCAGAGCUUGGUUUUGUUAUGGACCCAAUGGUUUUCAGCUAGGUCCCCUCCGGUGCUUUGAGAUCCCCGCUGGGAUAAUCGAUGACACUCUAGGGGAGAGUGCAGUUGACCCUCCAGAUGGUGUGGUAGAGGACCCGAUGCACCCGGUGCCCGUGGAGACUGAAGAAUCGGCGAAUGAGUCAAACUAGUUGGUUAUAAGACAGCUUUGUUUUGAGGACUAACCUUUUGUUGACUUGUGAAUAUAGAUUAGUAUUGUAUAUGACAUAGUUUGCUGUGCAUAAGGGCGUGUUGUGGUUUUCAAAAUUUUAGCUCUGCUUUUCUAUCCCAUCCUUGUGUUGUAUGAGGAUUUAUUUAAUCGCUUCCGCAUGCGCAUUAAAAGGAAUGGGUUGGCGAUGCGGCCUGGGACAUUGCAAUUUAAUCGACCACCAAGGGAUGGGCACACACUCGAGGAUCGAGGCGUGACACCAACAGUCUGCUAUCACAUGCACAUGACACUACACAUAGGCUUAUGCCACAAGGCGGACCAUGCCUCCUAAGACAAGUUCACAUUCCGAAUGCACUGAGAGCAACUAUUGGAGUAGAAUCCCCAGUCACUAGCUAGAGCACGAAACUACAACGGCACAGCCACCAAACUAAUUUUAAAAAUCACCACGCCAAAUACGACCCAGUGCAAAAGAAAACAUGUCCGCUGCUGCCGCUGCUCGAGAGCCGUCUCAUUUCAUCCAAACCCUUCCACUAGACGGAUGAUGACGAUAGCUAUUACCCUAACAACACGCGAGGGCGUACACAAAGAGAGAAAGCAAAUACAAACCAAAACACUCAAUCAAGAAGAGAAUAAAGCUAAAUGGUAGAGGCCUACCUUCAGCUAGGGUUUUUCCAAGCUCGGCGAGAGAGAGAGAGAGAGAGAAAGAGAGGGUCUCAUUCUUCGCUUGAUUUUGCAAUGGUCGGGUUUGUUGCCUCAUCAAUUUGGUACCUGAUGAAAUGAUAAUAUUCCCACCAGGAUCUAGUGACUUCUCUAAGCCCAAAGGACUUCUCGCGAAUCAAUUCGGAUAAUCGCUUCUCCAAAUCCCUCCAUUCAACAUUCGACAAAGAACUACAUUUAAUAGAAAGCAUCGAUAGUUGGACGGGAAGCUCUGAGAGACAUUCAAGAGGACGGAGAUCGAAAAGAGAGAGUUCCCGGAGAACGGUUAGUUUGGAAAGAUAUGGCAAUGAAGGACUUGGGAAAUCGACAUGCAAAGCUGUUAAGCUCAAGGGUGGUUCUGGUAUUUCUCGAAGGUUUUCGCAACACCGAACGCUGAGAUGUUGGAGAGAAGAGAGCUCCGAAAUGCUCUUUGGCAAGCCCCAAAUGCCUGUACUGUCUAAAUGAAGUUGAUUUAGCGAAACCAGCUCGCCUAUACUACUAGGUAGCCUUCUAGAUUUUUGCAGUCCGAUGCACUCAACACUUGGAGUUUUGUCGGCAUUCCAAUGGCACUAGGCAAUUCUGUGACAAAAGAUUUGUUAAGGUACAAGCUCCUCAAAUUUUGCAAAUUUCCAAUACUUUCUGGUAAUUUUGUAAUCGGUAUCCAUGAUAAAUUCAGCUCAAUCAACAAUGUCAACUUUCCAAUCGAGUUGGGGAUCUCUCUCAAUGAAUGGCAACCAAAUAGGUCAAGGAAAUACAAAGAUGCUAGAUUGCCUAUAGAGUUGGGUAUGCAAUCUAAUAAUCCAUAGCAAGUGACAUUAAGAGUCUCUAGCACCUUCAUAGAACCAAUGGAUUGAGGUAAUUCUUUAAUCAUUGUAUACGAUAAGUCCAGCUUAGUUAAUGACUCAGAAGAACUCAUGAAUUCAGGAAGCUGAGCAAGUUUAUCAUAACAUAGAAGCUCUCUCGAUUCUUCCAUUCCCCCUACUCUUGUUGGUAGCUUCUCUACUUUAAAACAAUUAUGGAUGUCCAAGGAGACAAGGGUCUUGAUAUACCAUAUAGAAGGAUGAAUUUCUUCUAGAUUCCGACAAUUUUCAAGAUUCAAGAUCUCUAAGCUUUUUAAAGCAGACAAAUUGGGAGUUUCUUUCAAAUUUUGACAAUACGAGAGGUCGAGAACUUUCAACUCAGUUGCCAUCUAAAAGAAAUAAAUGAAAUUUCAAUGAAAGUGGACAAUAGCAAUCUGUGAUUUUACACUAUUCUUCUUUUUUCAAAAGAAUCUUUAAAAUUCCUUUUAAAAAAAAUACCCAUACUCCACUACUCUUUCAUAGUUGUCUUAUUUAAUUUCAAAUGUUUUUUUUUCAAUAUUGUCGGGCUAUGCCACCAUAUUGAUUUUUUUAAGCAUAUCCAUUACAAAAAGAAUGUUAGGGACAUACAAGUGCCAAUCAUGUUUAUUUUCGGAUAAAAUUUCAAAAAGAAAAUAUAUUCAGUUUUUAAGAACUAUGGCGAUGUUAUUGAUUAGAUUUGUGCAAAUUUUAUUGUCAAAGAGACUCUCCAAUAGUAAGAAAUGGGUAGCUUAAUUAUAAAAAGCAAUUUCUUAAAGUGACUUCAAAGAAAAAUUUAAAGAAUGCUGUAUUUCAAAAAAAAUUAAUGCCAUCCGAAUGAUAGUUUUAUUACUCUCAUAACAUUAACAAUUUAUAUUUGUGUCAUACAGUGACUUCCAUAAUCAACAAUUAUAAUGAAUAAAUAAUUCAUGCAACAAGUCAAAGCACUUCAUAAAUCAUAUCCCCUACUCUGAGAUUAUAAUAACUUCCCGAAUUUUAGUAUUUAUGUACAGCACAAUUCACUAUGCAGGAGUUUUUUUUUUUCCUCCAUGAAAGAAGAUUGAUAUAGAGAAAUAACAAGAGUCCCUCAAAAGACGUACUUUUGUGUGGGAGAAAUUAACUUAGCCAUAAACCAUCUAGAUUAAAGUAAAUCAGAAUAGGUACAAAUAUGCAAUUGUAUUUUCAAUAAAUGUUAAUUAAUAUAGUUACUUUUUUUUUUUUUAGUAUUGUCUAAGGUUAAGCAUGACAGGUUGUUGAGUUUUAUCAAUUAAAAAUAAUUAAGGGGCAAAAGCCUAUGAAUAUUUAGGUAGCUAUAAAUUACUCUUAUAUUUAAAUGAAAAUCCUUAAUCCAUGGAACGUUAGCAAACGUUUCUAGGAGAAAUUGGUGUGAUUGGACCUUCGUUAAAAUGUUAUUAUUCUCAAGAGACAAAUCUUCUCAAUAUCUUACCUUGAGUGGAUCCCAUCCUCCCCAAUCCUCUGAAAUAGCACUCUGUGAUAGAUUAAGCACGGCUAAUUUCUUCGGAUUAAAGUUGACCAUUUGGAAAUAUGAGGGACAACAAUUCCAUUGAAGCCAUCUUAAUUGAGGAAGCAAGUUUUGGAAAUCUUUGAUAAAAUUUACAUUGCACACUCGAAGGAACCUCAACUUAGUGAGUUCAUUAAAUUGUUCACCUUGGUAGUUUUUCCCACAAACGUAACUGUUAAGAAAAAAAUUCCCAAUCUCACCAAGCCCAAGACAAAGGGCCUCAAUUUUACUAGUGCCCUGCAAUUACGAAACAUAGUGGAUGGAUCAUACCACAUAACAUGUUUCAUUUAGUUGUACACAUAUAUUAAGUUUUAGCUACACAAAUAUAUUUUAUAGGAAUGGAAACGAUUGAGGGAUUUAUCAUUUAUUAUGUGCAACGGGGUCAUUUCUGACAAAUAAGAAUAUUGGUUGAAUAAUAAUAUCAAAAUAUGAAUAAAUAAUAUUGAAAGACCAAUAAAAAAUAUCCAUCAUCAUAGAAAUAUUAUAUAACAUGCUUUAGAAAUAAAUUAAUAUUAAAAAAAACCGUCAUAGAUGAAAAAAAAGUCUUUGUUUAGAAGAACGUAUUACAUGACUACAUACUAUCAUAAUUGAAAAUUUUUAUGGAUACCCAUUGUGACUAAUAGAUAUCCACUACAGAGAACUAUUUAACAUGCUUUAUAAGUAAAUGAAUCUAAUAAAAUUGUCCAUCAUAGAAAGAAAAAAAUAUAUAUAUGUUUAGAAGGUUCUAUCACAUGACUACAUUUAUUUCAAUGGUGAGUAUAACGAAAUGUGUAAUAAGUGACGGCUGUUAUCAUAGAAAAGUUGUAUGAAUAUUAUUUAUAAGGAAAAAAAAUCGUAUUUCAUAAGUGAAUGAUGUAAAAUAAAUCGGUAAAAAAUUAUAAGACAUGAUAGCUCAUAUUUGACAAGUAAAUGAUAUAAUAUUACUGAAUGUGUACUAAAUAAAAUGCUCACUAAGAGUUGAACGUUGCAGAGAUAUCUAUUAUAACGCGGUAGUCAAAAUUUGACAAAGAAAUGUUAUCAGGACAUUCAUUUAAAAAUUACCCAUCAUCACAAAAAAGUAUGAAUAAAAACAGUAGCAAAUUCAUAGAAAGAAUUAUCUAUACAAUGAAAUGUCUACAGAAAAAAAAUAACAUAUGUUUAGAGUGUUAUUACACAGUUGCGAAUAUAUCAUAAAUAAAUAUGAGAGCCACGUUAGUAAAUUGAUGGUAUCAACUGGCGGUUGACAAUAAAAGACUUGAUUAUGCAAACUGUGUAAGAUGAAAAAGAAAAAGAGAGAAAACUACAUUGAGCAUAAAAGAAGGGAUAGGGGACUAAAUUGCCACAGAUAAUGAUGCAUAGGAGACUAAAUUCGUACUUAACCCAUCUUGGAAAAUUUAUGAACCAGGAUGUUUAAUCAUCACAAAUGGAUGGAGGCCUCGUUUAUCAUAAAAAAACAACUCAUAAGAAGUCGAAACUCAAUAAAAGAAAAAAGAAAAUAAGACCUCACAAGAAAUUGAAAGAAGAAUCCAAACAUCAAACGCGUGCAUCAAACAGACAUGUGAAAAAAGCAUGGCCCCCAACAAGUUAUUGAUGUCAAGUUUUCUCUGAAAGUGCCCUGUCAAAGAUUAUGUUUUUUAAUAGUUUUGUUGUUGCAUUGAAGUUACUAAAAGAAGAGUGUUCUCAUUACAUACUACCAGGUAAAGAUAUAUCAAUCAUCAAUAAUCAAGAAAUUGCUCCUCAAUUUUGUCCAGGUAAAAAGAGCAAUUAAUUGAAACAGCUCUUAACCUGGUAAAAGUGAAAAAAUUUGGAGACGAACAAGAAUAUUAUCUCAAACAAGAAAGAGAAGAAGGGCUCACAUUUACUGACUAAGAUGACUAGAGAGAGAUCUUACCUUGUUGUUGUCAAGAACAUCUAGGGCUUCCUCACGAAUCCAUAAUCUGCUGCGCUCUUGAGGCUCUUUUGGAUGUUCUAGACAAACAAUUUCUCUUCCAAGAUCUCUUAGUUGAUCAUGCUUCAUUAUAUUGCCAUUUUAUCAAUUUUAAUUAGGGACAUAAGGCUCAAUACUUCAAUUCCAUUCUCCGGGAAAAACCACAUGCAUCCCAUAAAUAAGUUACACUUUGUUUAGAUAAUCCAAUGCAAAAACAUGCUAUGUCCAAAAAUAUUUGCUUCGUCUCAUAGUCUAAUGAUUCAUAACUUAUCCUCAAUGUAUCUUGCACUUUCUUAUCAGGCACUUUCUUUAAUUUCUUCAAUGUAUCUUCCCAAAUUUUAAUUUGUUUUCCACGUAAGAAAGAACCUAUAACUUCAAGAGCUAAAGGAAGCCCUCCAGUAGUAGACACGAUAUCAUGAGAGACAACCUCAUAAUCACUAUGAGGAGCAUCCUGUCGAAAUGCAUGUCUAUUCAAUAAAAUCAAUGAUGGAUCCAAAGGCAACUUGUUGAGUUCGUACAUGUAGGUUGCCCUAGCCUCAUCAAGAAUACUCUUGUUUCUAGUGGUUAUGAUGACUAUACUUCCAGCUUUAAACCAAUUACCAUCUCCAGCCAAAGCAUUCAAGUGAGCCUUAUCAUCCAUAUCAUCAAGAAGAAUUAGGGUUUUCUUUCUUGUAAAUCGAGAUUUGAUGACAUCGAUUCCCUCAUCGACAUUAGACACCUCAUAUGACCUUCUUAGUAUAUCGCGAAUGAGUUGAUUUUGUGGCCAUUCAAUACCCUUGCGUAGAGAUGUUUCUCAAAUAUUUGCCACGAAACUAAGAUGUUCGAAAUGAUUGGAGAGAUUAUUGUACAAGACCCUUGCAAGAGUUGUCUUACCAAUGCCCCCCAUUCCAUAAAUUCCAAUGAUCCUUGUUUCAUUAAAUUUAGCAUCUAUGAAGCUCAUAAUUUCUUCUAUGGGACCAUCAAUUCCGACCAACUCUUUGGGAACAAUUAGUUGCAAAGGUCUUUUUAACUCACUUAAGACUUUUUCGACAACAAUUUCAACCAAUGCUCCUUCAUGCCUGUCAAGCAACACCGAAUUUUAGUAUAGGAUGGCAAUAUUUAUAUUAUUUUUCAGGUAAAAGUCUGAAUUUUAGUAUAGGAUGGCAAUAUUUAUAUUAUUUUUCAAGUAAAAGUCUAGUUAUGAGAAACUAAAUAAUGUUUUGGUGGAGAUACGUACCCAUCAUCAAUUUUCUCCGAUUCCCAUCCUUUUAAAGAACUGACUUCUUUGAGCGCUUCUUCCCAUUCCUUCACAACCAUUUCAUCCGAAUUCUCUUUAUGUGCAUUGAUGGCAUCUCCAAAUCCCUCUAUUAGAUGUCGCACUUGUGAGGGUUCCACUUUGUAAAAUAUGGGCAACACUACUUGCCCUCUGCUUCUCUUGCACUUCAAAAUCUGAACCAGCUCACGAAGGCACCAUUUGCUAGAAGCGUAGUCCUUAGAUAUAAUUGGGAUCGAGAUCUUAGACUACAUAAUACUGUAGAGAAGCUCCAAACCAAUCUCCUCACCAACAUGGAGCUCAUCAUCAUCUCCGAACACUCGAAUUCCUGCAUUAACAAAGCUAGUAUAGAGAUAAUCAAUGAAGCCUUUACGAGUGUCUUUCCCUCUAAAGCUCAAGAACACUUCAUGUCAUCUCCUUUCGGCUUUUUGGUUGUGCCUUCAUAAUCACCUAUAUGUGGAGAGGUAGAUGAGGAAGAUGCCCCAUAUAUCGGAUCGUCUGAAUAAGUAGGUUCUCUUCGUUUCAUCUCGAGAGGAUUGUACAUAUACAAAGGCAGUAGAAGAGAUUCACGAAGCAGAGCCUCAAAACAGGAGGAAUACGGAAUCCCAAAUAUAAGAAUUGCAGAAAUGUCUCUCGGAAUUCAUUCUGGAGCUACAUUCAAACAAAAACAAAGACUCUCAUACAACUCAUCAGAAUAAAUGGACAAUCGAAGCAGGAAAGAGAGAAAAGGAGAAGAGCAAGGAGUCACUGAUUACCUGCGGAGUGCUCACUGAUUCUCGGCCUUCGACGUUGGAUUUCUAGCACGGAACGCUCUUUAUCGUGCGCGCUUGAACGAAGCUGAGUUCUGGCCAACAAACGAUUGGAGACUCUUCAUGCUAAUUGAAACGUUGCGAUGCAUGCUGCACGGAAAGGUCAAUUAUUGCAGGAGUAACUUCCGCAGCACUAUCCGGAAGGUACGUCAUAAGAGGUGACUCGACUUGCUUUUUCUAUUAUAAACUAGAUUUUUCCAUGCCACAUCAUGCCUAAAGAUUAUCUAGCCAUCAUUCCCUCACCCAGGGCACUAUUAUUUUUGUCCUUAAAUUAAUGAUUUUUUACGUGUUAUAUUAAUUUUUUUUUUCAGUGUUACAUUCAGAAAUUCUUGGCCAACGAAUUCUCCAAAUAUUUAUUCAGUAAUACAUUUUUACUUUUUUAUUUCAUUUUUUGUCGAACAUUUUAUUUCAUGUUGGCAUUCUUCUUUUUCUUAGCUUUUUACCUAGGAUAUCAUUAACCAACUAUAUUACAGUAUCAUGACUUUGACCAAUAGUAUUGUUGUCAUCUCUACCCAUUCUCAGCCUUACACGUUUAAUUUCGGACGCACAAGGCUCUCCACUAGUCAAAAAGAGAGCGAUUUCUGCAGCAUUAUGCGGAGAUGCGUGGAUCCCAUUCAUGUCUUUUUUAUUUGACUUGUUUUUUUCUAUUUAAAAAGAAAAAAAAGAAAACUCAUCAACAAUACUCACAUGCUCCUGGUGUUAAUUUAUCGGUUUAUAUAGGAUUUUAUGAACAAAUGUCGGCACUUUGUUGACAUUCUGGAGUUAACUAAUGCCUAUUCCUUCAAUUGCGGUACAAUGUUGGCAAAUUGAUGAAGUUGUUGUCUUAUUUCGUGGUUGCGAAGGGGUGACACCGGCUUAAUUUUUUUGCCCCUUUCUCUGAUUAGUUGAUGUGGGUUAAGUGGAAACAGCUGCUGUCGAUUUGUUUUAGCAAUGUCUCAAGAAAGAGAUAGUGGCAAUUUUUAGCAGGAAAACAUUAACAAUAGUAUCUUACACCCUCUUUUUAGCAUCUAGUCGUUUUCGUGAUCAAAUUGCAUGAUAUUUGUGUCUAUAGAAAGAUAUAUGUACAUGUAUCAUAGUUUAAUAAAUAUUUGGACCAUUGCUGUGAGAAACCUUUCCAAUCGGUAAAAAUUUUCAAUGACUUUCUUCGAAAGUUACACCAACCUCAUUAUUAAAGUAAUGCUAUGCCACUUUCAUAGGAAACCCCCCGUCCCCUCCAAAAAGAAAAAGUCCACCCCCAAAAAAAGUAAGGCUAUGCCACUUUCAUAGGAAGCCCCCUUCCUUCUAACCACACACACAAGUGAAAGAUUCACAAGUGCUUUUUGAGCGUGGGUUAGAAAGAUCCAAUUAUGUGAAUCUCAUAAGAUCCCCAUAUUUUUUUAACAGUUGAGAUAAACUAACAUUAUUGUUUUACCGCAAAAUCAACAACACUAGCCUACAACCAAAGUCAUGCAUUUGAUUACUCUUCUUCUCUAUCUUGUGAGAAUUGCCUUGUACAUGAACAGAAACUCAGAAUAAAAGAAAGGGAAAAAAAGAAAGAAGGAUCGGGCCUUUGCUGGUCCAAUGCUAUUUGUGCAUAACAAUUUUGCCAUGUCUAUUUGUGCAUAACAAUUUUGCCAUGUCCCUUGUAGCCAUUCAAUGCAAAUAUAGUAAUGUCAUUUGUUCAUUUAACUUGCAUUGAGCUGUGCAAUCAAAACUUUGUCAGUGUGAAGCAUCAAAUUGAGGAUGUUAAAAUUGUCCUGUUCAAGGCUGCUAUAUCGUAGCAAAGGCUGGGAGACAAGGAAAAAUUUUAGGGUACACCCAUUAUAAUGUACAACAUUACGACGCAUCAAAGUAAUUAAGUACAAGAACAUCAUAAUAGCAUAGUAAAAUUGUUCAAUGAUAUAUUAUCGUCAUCAAGUGCAAAAGUGGUGUGAAAUAGAAGUGUGCUGCUAAAGAUUUUCAAAAGAUGAAUGGAAUCAACACUGAUGUAAGUUUCGCAAGAAAUAGAUGAGCUAAGGAAGACGCUGGACACGUGGUAUCCGUUACUUAGUGAAUUGCUUUUCUUUACUCACCCACUUUGAUGACCAAAAAUUAGCCUUGAUCCUGCUUUUUUAUCAAUAGGAAAAGUAAUAAUAAUAAUAAAGUGAGAGCAUUUCACUUCUUGUGGACCUCCAAUUUAUUGUGUUCUUGGUUGGGUUGGAAAUUGGAAUCUAAAAGAAAAUCAAAUAUAUUUGUACAUCUCUCUAAUGAAACAAAAAAUUGCUCCUUUUGACCUAAACAAUCAAAUAAUAAAUGAAAGAUAAAUGUUUUCUCAGAUAAAACGGAAUGUGACGCGAAAGUUAAAUGUAUUCUGAGUCUCUUGCUAAUUAUGUUUACAAAAAUUGAAUGUUUAUUUUAGAAACUAGAGUCAAAUGUUCAACUCUCAUGAAAACUGUUAGAGAUAUUUAUCUUAGGAUAUUAGAGAUAUUUAUCUUCCUGAUUGAUUAUAAUUAAUUUCUUAUCAAUUAUAAUUGAUUUGAUUUUGAUCUUGUAAUAUUUUAUUACCUCAUAUAGUUGUCUAAGACAGUCUAUAAAUAGGCUCUUGUAUCAUUAGUAUUACACGUACUGAAAUAUACAAAAAUUCAUUUUUCCACUCUAUUCUAUCAUGGCAUCAGAGAGAGGUUUUGUUUGAGAAAGUGGUCGCCAUUGUUGCAGCACCUUGAAAAAUCAUCAUCUAUUAUGGAGAGAAGCCGCACGCGCCACCACGCUCCGCUGCGCUACAGGACUAUUGACGACUACCAAUGACCACCGACGCCGUCGACUGUAGGUGGAAGUUUCAAAGACAAUCCUUAGAAUUUCUGACCAAAAACCACCAUAGACAAGUUCUAUAUUCUCCGGCGAGUCCAGAACAGCAAUGACCAUUGCUGGAAAAUGAACCACACACCCUCACGCGUCGCCCAAACCCUCUACGCGUGAGAUCCAUGUGUCAUGUCGCUGGAAAGUCAACCAAGCGCCCUCACCCACCAGUUAAACCCUCUACGCAUGAGAUACACGCGCCACAACUUUGCACGUGACCUAUGUGUGCAUUAGUGACGUCAUUGAUGGCGUCAUCCUCGCACGUGCUCCAUCCGUGCUCAAGCAAUAACAUCAUUGCCACGUCAUCGUUGUCGCUGACAGCCGUUGACUGACGUUGACCCGAUCAGUUCGUAGUGUUUUUUGACCGGUUUGACUUAAUUUAGACCGAUUCUCGGUGUUUUCCAACCGGUUUAGCGAAAUUCCAUUCGAUUAGCUCCUUUUUCUGACCGGUUCGUCCAGUUUCCGAUCGGUUCAUUUGAUUUUCCAACCGGUUCAGCCAGGUUCCAACUGGUUCUCAGGGUUUUUCGACCAGUUUAGCCAUUUUCCGACCAGUUCUUAGGGUUUUCCUACUGGUUCAGCCAUUUUCCAACCGGUUCUUGGGGUUUUCUGGCUGGUUCGGCUUGAUUCUGAUUGGUUCUUGGCAUUUCCAGAUCGGUUCUUGAGGUAUUCCGAUGUUCUCAGUCUAUUUUUCAGCCUUAUUUUCUUCAUAUCAGCUCCACAAGUAUCAGUUUUUUUCUCAAAUUCAUUAAAGAAUCUAUUGAGUUUACUAGUAUAUCGCCUAUCAUGGACAAGUUAGAAGUCUCAAAGCCCAUUCAGACCAUCUUAAAUGGAUCAAAUUAUAUUUUAUGGGCUCAAGAAAUGUCCAAUUUUCUAAGGGGACAUGAGCUUUGGCGUUAUGUAACUGGAGGUCUUCGCAAGCCUAGUCAGGCUUGCGCUCGCGAAGAGGAUAACGAUACAUUUGCUGAACGAUUGGAGGAGUGGGAGAGCAAGAAUCACUAUGGUUUCAAAAUACUUCCAUUCCAUCUAUCAAACUUCAGUUCGGUCAUCUAAAUAUAGCAAAGGAAACCUGGGAUCUUUUUGCUAGUCAUUAUUCCACAUCAGAUAUUACUCAUCAAUAUCAACUGUUAGGGAACUUACAUCACAUGCGUCAGGAGACAAGUCAGUCUAUUGAUGACUUUUUUUCUUCAAUGCAUGUUAUAUGGGACUAGCUCGCUUUAUCUAAACCCACAUGGGAUUCGUUUGUUGAUGCUCAUAAGUUUGCUGAAUAUCGUGAUUGUAUGCAAGUUAUGCAAUUUCUGAUGGCUCUAAAUGAUGAGUAUGAACCUGUGUGAGCCUUACUUCUGCAUCGGGAUCCUUUACAUCAUCUUGAGGUAGUUAUUUCAGAGCUAUUAGUUGAGGAAACUCACCUUGCGACUUUCAAUGCACAACAUGCUACUCCACUGUUUUCCACUCCUACAAAUGCAGUGCUUGCCACUAUUGGCUCAUCCUCAUGGCGCAAAUCUUAUUGUAUGCACUAUCGUCGACUUGGUCAUCAUGCAUCAAACCAUUAUCAAUUACAAUCCAAUCAACCUAUAGGAACAAACAACAUAUCCCGUUUUAGAGGUUUGGUUGGACGCGGCUCAUCCACUGCUGCUUCUGUCAUAGAGGAUUCCUCUAGUAGUUCGUCUAUCAUGCUAUCUUUAGAUGAUCUUUGAUCCACGGUUUGGUCCAUUCUUCAAGAAACUAGUACUUCUAGUCCUUUUGUUAUGUUGGUCACUCCAGGUACUCCUGAUUCAUGGUUCUUUGUUUCUACGUGUCGUAAUCACAUGACUUCCCAUUCCAAUUUAUUUAAGUCAAAAUCAUAUAAUUCACAAAGACCUACUAUUCACACAGUUGAUAACUCUCAAAUCAUAGUUAGUCAUACAGGGAACGUUUCAAUGCCCACCUUGUCCUUACCCGAUACUUUUAUGGUUCCCAAACUCUCUUUAAACUUAGUAUAUGUGGGUUAGUUAUGUAAGCUUGGUUUUGACAUUCAUUUCUCUUCGAAUGGUUGUCAUGUGCCGGAUCCAUAAACGGGACAAACAAUUGGGACAGGCUCAUAAAGUGGGACGGUUGUUUGAGCUUGUUUCAUUAAAGCUUCCUAACUCCUACACUAGUUGUGCUACCACAGUUUCAUCUUAAACUUGGUAUUCUCGUUUAGGUCAUCAUUCUUUUUCUCGUUUAAGUCAUUUGCUCUCAAGUGGUCAACUAGGUUCCAUUGACAAUAAAAACCUUUGAUUGUCUACCUUGUAAGUUAGGAAAACAUCAUGCUUUAUCGUUCAAUAUUAGUGAAUCUAUCUCUUAUGCUCCCUUUGAUCUAAUUCAUUCGGAUAUUUGGGAACCAUCUCCUACUCCCACUAUGGAAGACUCUCGUUAUUUUGUGAUUUUUGUUGAUGAUUAUUCACGUUAUACAUGGCUUUAUCUCAUGAAAAAUCUAUCUGAAUGUACCCAUAUCUAUGGUAAUUUUGUUGCAAUGAUCAAAACACAAUUUUCUCGAGAUAUCAAGGUCUUUCGUACCGAUAAUGCCAUGGAAUAUAAGGACAGAGAGUUUCUUAAAAUUCUUUCUCAUAACGGUACUAUUAUUCAUCGUUCUUGUCCAGGAACUUCCCAACAAAAUAGUCGAGCAGAGCAUAAACACAGGCAUAUUUUAGAUAUUGUACGCACUCUUCUAAUCUCAGCAUCUUGUCCAGAACAAUUUUAGGGGGAGGCCUGUCUUAUUGCUGUCUACACUAUUAAUCGUAUUCUAUCACCUACUAUAGGUAACAUUUCUUCAUACGAGCACUUAUAUGAUAGUAUUCCUAAUUAUAGUCUACUUCGAGUUUUUGGUAGUGCAUGUUUUGUGCAUCUUCUUCCAAAUGAGCGCAUGAAGUUAGAACCUCAUGCUCGUUUCUGUUGUUUCCUUGGAUAUGGCAUUGAGCAUAAAAGGGUAUUUAUGUUGGGACCCUAUCUCCAAUCGACUUCGUGUGUCUCAUCAUUUUACCUUAUGGGAACAUAAAAUGUUCUCAUCUUUACAUUUUUUUGCAUCUUCUCUCAUUGUUCCAAAUGUUCGUUUCUUCACAAAUCCUUCUGUCGAAUUGUUCCUUGAUGAUGACACUCCUACAUCUUCCUCUUUAGAAUUGCCCUCUCCAAAUCUUGAUGCAGGUAUCUCUAGAAAUCCCACUUCAGCAACUCCUGAUAUAUCGGUGCCAUUCGUGGAUCCACCUUUGGAAGUUCCUUCUUCUUCUGUUCGUUGCUCCACCCAUGUAAGUCAACCUUAUGUUCGGCUUCGUGAUUUUCACUAUUAUUCCACAAUUGCCUCUUUUCACAAGCCUCGCACUAUAGAGAAGCUUGUACUAAUCCUCUUCUCUUCAACCGCCGGAUUGUUCCAGACCCAUUCUGCCCAAUAUGCUGCCAAUAUGUUCCUGAAACAAGAGAACAUUUGCUUAUCCAGUGUCCAUGGACGAAAACUACAUGGUCACACUCACAGCUUGAUUUAGCUUCCUCUACAACCUCAGUUUCCAGUAUUACACGGUGGCUAAUUGAAAGUGUAAUUUUACCUGAUCCUUCUCCCCGACUCGAGGUAGUUGCCACCAUCUUUUGGCAGAUCUGGAAGAAAAGAAACCAUUUUGUUUUUCGGAAUCACCGUCUGAAUCCCUCCAUGGUAGUGGAAUUGGCUCUAGCUCAAAUCUCAAUAUAUCAGUCUUCUGGUGCAGCACUCCAUCGCUCAAGUUCAAACUCUGGCCUUGACACUGUUCAACCCGAUCAGCUUUGGCGACCUCCGGCAAAGGGCGUCCUGAAAUGCAAUAUCGACGGGAGUUAUCAAGAGGGCACUUCGGAAGGCUCUAUGGCCAGUAUUUGCAGAGAUGAUCGAGGUAAAAUCACUGACAUUUUCUCUAGAUAUUUUCCAGCACACUCACCUUUCGAAUCGGAGCUCCAGGCGCUGAAUCUGUCCCUACAACAUCUAUAUCACCGAGGACUCCAAAACACCCCCAUCGAUCUUCAUACAGACUGUCUUCAACUUGUUGAAAUUGCAAAUGGUCUUCGCCUGCCGCCAUGGGAGCAGAGGCCAGUGAUCGACGAAACCCUAUUUUGGCUCUCCAACUUUCCUUUCCUCUCUUUGUGGCACUGCCGCCGAUCGGCUAACCUAGUAGCCGACUGGGCAAAGCCCAGUUAGCUCACCCGGCCCAAAAACUAUCUCUUUCCUUUUCUCUUCUGCUGGAUCUGCUGGAUCUUUUGUUUGCGGAUGCUUUAGCUGCAGGAUGUAAUCUUCCUCUUUAAUUAAUAUAUAAGUGUGUUUAUGUCAAAAAAAAAAAACAGCGAGGAGAAGAAGGAACAGAGCAUAGAGUAACCACUUAAUUGUGAUAUUUUAAUUUGUGUUUUUUCUAGGAAAAGGCCUCUGGAUAAAUAGAUAAAGGAAACUAGAUGCAUGCUAAUGGACGCAACUAUUCGAUAAUAACAUUUGAAGUCAAAUGUCGGAAAGCUGUAAUGACUUAAACAACAAUAAACUAACUGAUAUAUAACAAUCUAAAGACAAGAUAAUUACUAGACAAUUUAAAACUCUGUCACAAAGUAAAAUAAACGAACGAAAAAUUAUUCAUACACAACAAAAAUGAAAUCAUUUGCAUUCGGUGAACUUGUCUUGUGACUUACGCGGUGUGUGUAAUUGAUACACAAUUUUACUCAGUUUUUGAAAUUUAUGAAGUAGCUUAUAUUGACAUUUGUAUGUUUUUGGAGAUUUUGAGGUGCUCGAUUUCAAAUAAAUUGAAAAGUAUGUCACGGUCAUCAGCAAGGAUCAUGGCUAUUUAGGCGCUUGCCAUCUUCAAAUCAAGAUGGUGGUCGCUUUCUUUUUUUCUUUUUUUGUCUAUCCUACUCUAACUCUCAAUUCACUAUCGAACUUUUGUCAUUCCUCUUUACAGGGUGUGGGAGUUGAAACCCACACCUAAAGGCCGAAGUUUGUCAUCGCCUCUCCAACUCCCUUGAGAAAAUAGGGAUUUGAACCCUAGAUGAUGGUUGCUUUGGAGGCCACCAUUGUGUUAAAUCGACUAUCCUUGUAAUAUUUUGCCAAGGGAAUGUCGAAAAAGGAAUUGAACUCGACAAAUUUGACGAAAAAGGGUUCUUUGUUGAUUUUGGGUGGGAAUGUAAACAACUGUGAAGGUAAAGGGAGUUUAAAGUGUAGGUGCCGAAAAUUGAAGAUUACGAGACUGAUAAAAGGUACCAGAAUUUUAAAAUUAUGUAGGAUAAUUAGCAGGGAUUUAAAGAUGAAAGUAAAUGUGCAUAAGAACGAGAGUUCUAUUGAUGAUUGAUCCAAGGUGCUAAAAGCUAAAACGCGGCCUUUUAUAUUCCAUCGCCAGCAGUUCUCUGCCAAUGAUGAUACCGAUGUUGCUAGUCCUCGCUCCUAAUGCACAUGAGUCAGUGACAAGAAAGUUAUUCAUAUAGUAUAGUUUUUUUCCUAAUGGUUAUCUUAAUAAUUGGCAGACGGGCUUGAUGGAUACCUCCCUCAAGAACCCCAAAAAAAAAAAAAAACACUACGCGAUGAAAGCGGGACAAAAGUAAAGUGAGCCAGUCAUUUUUUUCUCAACUUAACAUUAUAACAUGAGCUUGUCCUAAAUUAAUCCAGAAAAAAAGGCUUUAUUUUACAAUAAUCACCAGAAAUUUCCUCAGCUUUUCUUCAGAUGACAAUGGACAAAGCAUUGGAAAUUUGUCCGAGUCGGCUGAUGCUCAUUGACAGAAUGAAUCCAAGAAAGAAUAGUGGAUAAAAGAGACGAACAUUGAAAUUUUCUGAUGCAACUUGGGCAUAUAAAGACAUUGCUUCAUUUCAACUGCCCUUUUAUCCUGGUAUACCAGGCAUUUAUUAAUAACCUAUUCAAUGAUUUCUCUGUUAUAGUGUAGGUCUUUUUCUAUCUUCUUGGCCUUUUAUUUCACUAUUGCCAUCAUUGACUUCUUGACACGUGUACCAUACACACUAUUAUACAAUCCACUAGAUCCUUGGACGCACAAAUUUAGGAUUUUUUAAGGUUUGUGCCCAAUCCACUAGAUCCUUUGACACGGGCUUGAUGGAUACCUCCCUCAAGAACCCCCAAAAAAAAAAACACUCCGCGAUGAAAGCGGGACAAAAGUAAAGUGAGCCAGUCAUUUUUUUCUCAACUUAACAUUAUAACAUGAGCUUGUCCUAAAUUAAUCCAGAAAAAAAAGGCUUUAUUUUACAAUAAUCACCAGAAAUUUCCUCAGCUUUUCUUCAGAUGACAAUGGACAAGCAUUGGAAAUUUGUCCGAGUCGGCUGAUGCUCAUUGACAGAUUGAUCCAGAAAGAAUAGUGGAUAAAGAGACGACAUUGAAAUUUUCUGAUGCAACUUGGGCAUAUAAGACAUUGCUUCAUUUCAACUGCCCUUUUNNNNNNNNNNNNNNNNNNNNNNNNNNNNNNNNNNNNNNNNNNNNNNNNNNNNNNNNNNNNNNNNNNNNNNNNNNNNNNNNNNNNNNNNNNNNNNNNNNNNNNNNNNNNNNNNNNNNNNNNNNNNNNNNNNNNNNNNNNNNNNNNNNNNNNNNNNNNNNNNNNNNNNNNNNNNNNNNNNNNNNNNNNNNNNNNNNNNNNNNNNNNNNNNNNNNNNNNNNNNNNNNNNNNNNNNNNNNNNNNNNNNNNNNNNNNNNNNNNNNNNNNNNNNNNNNNNNNNNNNNNNNNNNNNNNNNNNNNNNNNNNNNNNNNNNNNNNNNNNNNNNNNNNNNNNNNNNNNNNNNNNNNNNNNNNNNNNNNNNNNNNNNNNNNNNNNNNNNNNNNNNNNNNNNNAGAUGAAAAACUCCAUCGGCAAUCGAUUUUUUACGUGCCAGCACAAGGAAUAUAGGAUCAGACCAAAUAUGGCAGAUUAGUCAUAUGAUCGGAUUUUCCAUGAAUCAAUGAUAAAAGGUACAGAUCCCCCCCCCCCCCCCCCCCCCCCCACAAAAAAAACUAUCGAAGUGAAUCAUAUUAUUUGUGCAUAAAUAUCUUUAAACAGCACGAUGGUUUGCACAACGAAUCACUUUUUGCAUACAUUAUAACCUUGACCUCUCCUAUUAAAAAAGGGAGAUAUGCUCAUUCAAGUCAAGCUGCUUGAGAUUGAGUAGCAUAUUAAUAAUUAAUCGAAAUUGUAUAAACUCCUUGCUUGCUGAAUUUGAGGAGAAUCUAUGCCCCUCUCAAGUCUAUGUUUGAUUCAACCAAAAAACAAAGGUCUAUGUUCAAUCUUUGGCUUUUUCUUUAUCUACUAUUCACGCCCUUUUCAAAUCCAUGCAAUUUCUACCUAGAAGGUUUGAAAUGUCUACACUUUCUACAAUGGUAGAAGGAGAUGUUGAAACUCCAAGGUGUGGACUAGUCUUUAUGAAAUUUUAGGGUGAAAAAUGUUGAAUCUCGAAACCACAGGCGUAAAGAGUUGAUUUUAAAAUUUGAUGUUCUAAAGUAUUAUUAUUAUUAUUAUUAUUAUAGAGGACAGGGGUCAUCUCAAAUAUCAAACUAUCACUAGAAUGUGAUCUCAUGAAUACCUGACAUAACAAUUGCUCUCAUAUUCCAUAUGAGGAAAGCUCAAGACAAUUCACAUAUUGGCUUGCAUCUAAAAAUGUCUAAAGCUUCUGGAGCUCCUAGUCUCCAAGCCCUCCGGGCUCAAUUAGUUUGUCGCAGUCUCGUGCGACAAUUGAGUAGCAUCAUGAAAUCUAUAUACUUUAUAGGUAUCUCAAUCCUUUGAGCCCUGAGAUGUCAGAAGGUUCCCAACAAGCUGUCACUAUCAAGUUCCUUAAAUCUUCAAAUUUCCAAGCAUCUAGGAACUCUAACAACUUGCAUCCUUGAAUACACAAACUUUUGCAGGAUGAGAAUACCUCUAGGCUUUCAAUAUCAUCUUGCUCUUCACAGUGGUUGAUGUUCAGUAUUAUCAGGGUUUUCAAGCAUGAUAGAUCCAAUAAUCUUCCAAGGUAAGUGCAACCACAAAUAUCUAAUAUUACCAAAAAAAAUACAGUCCGUCAACGCCACAUUUCAACCAGACUCUUACAGUUUGCAACAUGAAAUCUCCCAAAUUCUUCAAACUAGAAGGUUAUCUUUCAAUGGACGUGCAAUUAGAGAUAUCCAAUCUUACAAAUAAUCGACCUCUCAAGGCCAUGAAUUUCAACUAGAUUCCCGCAAUCUGCAGCAUAGAAUGCUUUAGACAUUUUGAACUUGAAAGGUCUAUUUAUCUUUCAAUGGAUUGAAAUGUCUGGUCAUCUUUUAAUUGGACAUGCAUUUAAAGACAUAAAACCUUCUCAAAGAUUCUAAUUAAUCAAUCAAGGCCUCAAACUUCAGCUAGAUUCUUGCAGUUUGCAGCGUGCAAUUUGAAGUCUUUAAACUGGAGAAGUCUAGAAAUCUUUUAAAGAAGUGCACCCAGAGAGAUUCGAUCUUGCCAAUAAAUACCAUGAAUUUCAACUAGAUUUCAGCAAUUUGCAGCAUGGAAUAUUUCAAUGGACGUGCAUCCAGAGAGAGAUAGAAUGUUUCCAGAUAUUCUAAAUGGGUCAAAGCCUCAAACUUCGACUAAAUUCACGCAAUUGGCAGCAUAUGAUUCUCUUCGAUUCUUUUUAAACUUGAAAGGACAAUUGAUUGAAUGGACAUGGAACCAGAGAUAUUCAAAUUUACAAGACUCUUGCCAUUGGCAACACAUGAUAGCCCCAGAUGUUUCGAACUCGAAAGGUCCUGCAAAUCUCAACUAGAUUCUCGCGACUCACAGCAAUUUGUUUCCCGUGGAAUCUUCAAAGUUGAAGGAUCCACUGACCCUUUGCCUCUGGAGAACCUGGGAACGCCUAAUCAACGUUUUCUCUUAACUAAUGCCAAAACUUCGUGGGUCUGGUAGCUGCCAGCCCCAACCACUGGGACCACUCCAUCUCCACCACCACCUGGAAGUGACGCUUCAUAUCUUUGUGUAACACUGCUAAUCCUGUUCAUGACUUCAUUACACAUGAAAUCAUUAUUUCUACUAGAUAUAGGUGGACUAUUGAUAGAUCGUGACAUGUUGCUACCCGUCAUAAAGUGAAUAAACUUGUGAAAAUGCUCCUUCUCAUAAUUCCAGCAUGAUUCAUAUAGAUAACAUUGCUCAAACUUGUAAUAGAUCAUAAGUUUCUUUGGAAUAAACAGAUGGUUCGGCUCUAUUUACUGUUCUGGUAUCAUGAAAACCAAGAUUAUUAGAAAAAUUAGAACGUGGCAGAAGACAAAAACUUGCAUGCUGGAAAGUCGAAAUAGAGUAUCAGUAGAACAAAUCCUCAUUGGCAUAGCUAAAAAGUCCCACCAUUGGAAUGACAGAGCAGAAGUGCAAAUUACAUAGUGACAGGAAGAAUGGUGCGAAUCUUGUUAGGAUCAAACUCAACACAAGCAGUCAAUCAAGAACUUGAAAUGACUAUGAAACUAUGAACGCACUCAUGCAGCCCUGCAGCAUAUCAAAUUCACACCUGAUGAUUAGCCUGAAAGAACCUGACGAAUUUGGGGGAUCCAGAGCGCCACGAGUCCUGAAUGACCGCUUUCCUUUGCCUAUGUGUUUUUGUACUUCACCUCCAGAAGCUUCCUUAAUAAUUGUCAAUUAUUAAAUUACUUCGAUCAAUCAUAUGAGAAGAGACAAAAGAUAAAAUUACAGUUGCUAUAUCCCAGAACAAUAAAAAUCCCAAUCCAAUAAAUCAGGAAAAGUAAACAAAUUCAGCUUGUUCAAGUAUAG
rnacentral:lncRNA from 1 species